rnacentral:rRNA from 1 species
UGGUCAAUGGUCUGACGACUGAACCAGCCAUGCCGCGUGAAGGUGACGGCCCUAUGGGUCUUAAACUUCUUUGCAAGGGAGCAAUAAGGCGUACGUGUACGUCGAUGAGAGUACCUUGCGAAUAAGCAUCGGCUAACUCCGUGCCAGCAGCCGCGGUAAUACGGGGGAUGCAAGCGUUAUCCGGAUUUAUUGGGUUUAAAGGGUGCGUAGGCGGUCUGGUAAGUCAGCGGUGAAAUUUAGGGGCUCAACCUCUACCGUGCCGUUGAUACUGUCAGGCUAGAAUGCGGAUGCCGUGGGAGGAAUGUGUGGUGUAGCGGUGAAAUGCAUAGAUAUCACACAGAACACCGAUUGCGAAGGCAUCUCACGAAUCCGCGAUUGACGCUGAUGCACGAAAGCGUGGGGAUCAAACAGGAUUAGAUACCCUGGUAGUCCACGCUGUAAACGAUGAUGACUAACCGUCGGCGAUACACAGUCGGUGGCCGAGCGAAAGCGAUAAGUCAUCCACCUGGGGAGUACGACCGCAAGGUUGAAACUCAAAGGAAUUGACGGGGGCCCGCACAAGCGGAGGAACAUGUGGUUUAAUUCGAUGAUACGCGAGGAACCUUACCCGGGCUCGAACGGCAGAUGAAUUGAGUAGAGAUAUUCAAGUCUUCGGACAUCUGUCGAGGUGCUGCAUGGUUGUCGUCAGCUCGUGCUGUGAAGUGUCGGCUUAAGUGCCAUAACGAGCGCAACCCUUGCCGUUAGUUGCCAUCAGGUCAAGCUGGGGACUCUAGCGGGACUGCCACCGCAAGGUGUGAGGAAGGGGGGGAUGACGUCAAAUCAGCACGGCCCUUACGUCCGGGGCGACACACGUGUUACAAUGGUGGGUACAGAGGGAAGCUACCUGGCGACAGGAUGCAGUUCUCGAAAACCCAUCCCAGUUCGGAUUGGAGUCUGCAACCCGACUCCAUGAAGUUGGAUUCGCUAGUAAUCGCGCAUCAGCCAUGGCGCGGUGAAUACGUUCCCGGGCCUUGUACACACCGCCCGCCAAGCCAUGGAAGCCGGGGGUGCCUGAAGUACGUGACCGAGAGGAG